AUGUUUUUGGCCACCUUUAGUUCAAAAGAACAGAAAGAUCGCUGGUAUUAUUUUAUCAAAAGAUCCACUAAUGAAGCCAGGAUGGGUAUACAGAAAAACUUCUCAAUGAAGAUAUUCACUGAGGACAUCCCAAACUGU